rnacentral:lncRNA from 1 species
UUUUGCAAAAGGUUACUGUAGAAAUUCAUAACUGGUCUAGUGAUUGAGGUUAAGUGACUUUUGUUUUGGCAUUUAGAAAUGAAGAAAAUAAUCAGAUAUUUGUAUCAUCCCCUCCAAGACUCAGGAAACACAGCGAAGAGAGAACAGAACUAAUUUAAGAGUUUGAAAAUGGUUUGGGCUAGUAUGUAGCUAUUUUAUCUGAAUGGAAAUAUUCCUUCCUAGAAGAAGGUAGGAUGCUUGUAAAAUUCAGGAAGCACAUGAAACCUACAAAUUCAAGAUCACAGGAUUCUGAAGUUACAGAUGAAAUAUUUUAUUGCUGUGGGAAAAUGGCACUUUGGUGUUUGCAAGUCAGGCAGGGAAGUUAGUGUUUUGUUCAUUUUUAUGACUGUUAUUCAUGCUGAAGGAGGCUUUUCAGUGAUGCCAUAUCUAAAUGUCACCCACACUCCUAUAAGUAGCACUAAUACAUUCAUUGGCUCUCGAAGUUAGAAUGGCUUCUUUGGCUUGUUGUUGGUUUCCUAGCUGUGUUGAAUAUAUAUUGUUCACGAGGUCCAAGGAGGAGUCACACAGUAGCUACUUCCCAAGGCUAUCAUGAGAAUCUGAGGAGAUUACAUUGGUCAAUCAUUUAAUACAACGAUUGGUACAUGCAUAGCUAAUAUAAGUAAAGAUUAUUAUAUCCUUCAAAGCAAGUGGUGAGGCUAGGAUAGUUCCCUUUGAGCUAUGGUGUUCUCUGGUUGACUUUUGUUUAGAAGCAGGUUCCUGACAGCCUAAUCCUACCCUUCCACCAUCACAUGUGCAGGAGCUAGGACACUGCUUCUAGAAUGUGAUUUCCUAGUAACACGAAACAUGUGAUGCUACAGGUAUAGUCAUUGGCUUGGAUUUAUUUUGUCCAGCAUGGAAUCAGGGCACCUCAAGACUUCAAAGAUUUUUGGUUGCUCUAGCCUCUUUUUAAUCACUCACCAUGGCUGAAUGACCCAUAUUUUUUCAAGACUGCUAUAAAAUAGAGAUGGAAGUGAGCGCUGAAUCUAAGCACUGUGGCUCUCUGUCAUAUAUAUUUUCUUGGUUUCUAUCCAGCCUUAUUUUAAAUAUCCCCAGGGAUGGGCUUUCAUCACUUUACUUGGAAGAUUUUCGUGUACAGUAAUUUUUACUGUCAGAAAAUUUUCUCUCUCAUUUGGGGUGAAAUUUUCUUUUUGUUCUUUCUUUUUUUAAAAAAUUACUCUAUUAGUUAUUCUGUGCUAAAUCUGAUUAAAUAAUUCUUCCUGCCUACUUAGUAUUUCUCCUGUCAGAUUUUUGCAGUCAGUUAUUAGCCCCCCCCCAAUCAUUAUUUUUCAACCCCAGACAUCCUCUUUAUCUUUAAUCACUUUUCCUAACUCACUCCUCUAUCACUGUGAUCAUUAUUCUCACUGUUCUGAAUUAAUACACCUACUUUUUGGAAGGUGACUUCAGUAUCUUAAGUUUAAUGCUCCCUUGAAAGUAAAACACACUAACAUCUGUUUUACAUUUUACUGAAACGUUACAUUGCAAUCUUGUAAAUAAAACCAAAUUAACCUACUGUUUUAACAAUGGUUAUUGUUACUUUGCACUUUUCCUUUUUCCUUUUGAAGCAUUUGAAGUACUGAUAUUUUUGUCUACUCGGUGGCAGUUUGUAGGAAGUGUUGUGCUAAAUACUUCCUCUGCACUGUCCUAGCUGCCAUUCCUGCAGCAUGUGUGUGAGCAUUCUAACUCCCAUUUCACAUCUGGGGAAACUAAGGUUCAGAGAAGUUUAAUCAGUUUGCCUAACCUCUGGCUCCAGAGACUACUCACCUUUUUAUGGGCGAGUAAUUUCAAAGAAUCUGCAGCAACUUUUAUAAGUUCCAGACUUCAGCAGACCCUC